rnacentral:rRNA from 1 species
GGUCAGGAUGAACGCUAGCGGCAGGCUUAACACAUGCAAGUCGAGGGGCAACGCGAGUAGCAAUACUUGGCGGCGACCGGCGCAAGGGUGCGUAACGCGUGAGCAACAUGCCCGUAUCAGGGGGAUAAUCCAGGGAAACUUGGUCUAAUACCCCAUAGUAAUUUUUGUAAGGCAUCUUAUAAGAUUUAAAGCUUUGGUGGAUACGGAUUGGCUCGCGUGACAUUAGCUGGAUGGUAAGGUAACGGCUUACCAUGGCUAUGAUGUCUAGGGGUUCUGAGAGGAAGGUCCCCCACACUGGAACUGAGACACGGUCCAGACUCCUACGGGAGGCAGCAGUGAGGGAUAUUGGACAAUGGAUGGAAAUCUGAUCCAGCCAUGCCGCGUGAAGGAAAGAAGGUCCUAUGGAUUGUAAACUUCUUUUGUAUGGGAGCAAUAAGGCCUACGAGUAGGUUGAUGAGAGUACCAUACGAAUAAGCACCGGCUAACUCCGUGCCAGCCGCUGC